rnacentral:sRNA from 1 species
UUUAAAACAAUUAACUAAAUAAUUUAGUGCAGAUUGUUUGACAGCAUGCUAAAGUUACAUGCUUAAUAGCUCGUUACGCUAGCGGUGGGAUACUGCUGUUAGAUAAGUAAUCAGUCUUUGAUUGUUGCGAAGUGAGAGAAUAGCAAGAGUGCGUGUGACGUGGAGAAUAUGUGUAACUAGGCUAAAUCUAAACGGUGGUGGCGAUAAUAGACGUCUCUGUGAGAAAUAACCCUGCAAAGCCCAAGUUUGACCGCUUGAAGCAAGUAGGGAGUUGUCAAAAUAAGCCAUUGUGCGCAUUGACGAGUGAAAAGCUCGUUGCUUACACUAAAAGAUUGUACAAGUAGCCCAAAGGCGCAGUCAUCAAUUGGAAUAUCUUUUUUCUGAAUGUUGGGUGAACGUUGAAGGUAACCAAUCCUGUCUAGUCAUUAAAACUCUUAGGAAGUUGUGAGGUAGCUCCUCAUAGCUCAGACCUAAGACGGCUAUCAGCUAAUAAAUUGCAUAUAUUUGAAGCAGAGCGAAGGCUCAUUUAGUUAGUUGUUUUAA